rnacentral:rRNA from 1 species
UACGUAGGGUCCGAGCGUUGUCCGGAAUUACUGGGCGUAAAGAGCUCGUAGGUGGUUUGUCGCGUUGUUCGUGAAAACUCACAGCUUAACUGUGGGCGUGCGGGCGAUACGGGGCAGACUGGAGUACUGCAGGGGAGACUGGAAUUCCUGGUGUAGCGGUGGAAUGCGCAGAUAUCAGGAGGAACACCGGUGGCGAAGGCGGGUCUCUGGGCAGUAACUGACGCUGGAGGAGCGAAAGCGUGGGGAGCGAACAGG